rnacentral:misc_RNA from 1 species
GGACUGCGAUAAGUAAUGUGAAUUGCAGAAUUCAGUGAAUCAUCGAGUCUUUGAACGCACAUUGCGCCCCCUGGCAUUCCGGGGCGCAUGCCUGUCCGAGCGUCAUUGCUGCCCUUCAAGCCCGGCUUGUGUGUUGGGUCGUCGUCCCCUCCGGGGGACGGGCCCGAAAGGCAGCGGCGGCACCGCGUCCGGUCCUCGAGCGUAUGGGGCUUUGUCACCCGCUCGAUAAGGACCGGCCGGGCGCCAGCCGGCGUCUCCAACCUUUUUUUCUCAGGUUGACCUCGGAUCAGGUAGGGAUACCCGCUGAACUUAAGC